rnacentral:rRNA from 1 species
UACAGAGGGGGCAAGCGUUAUUCGGAAUUAUUGGGCGUAAAGGGCGCGUAGGCGGCUUGGCAAGUGGAUGGUGAAAUCCCUCGGCUUAACCGAGGAACUGCCGUCCAAACUGCUUCGCUUGAGACCGGGAGAGGUGAGUGGAAUUCCCAGUGUAGCGGUGAAAUGCGUAGAUAUUGGGAGGAACACCAGCGGCGAAGGCGGCUCACUGGACCGGUACUGACGCUGAUGCGCGAAAGCGUGGGGAGCAAACGGG